rnacentral:lncRNA from 1 species
UUUAAAUACUCAACGAAAUUGAGUGAAACAAAAAUGAAAGUUGUACUACUCGACGAGACGAAGAGAUUGAUACCUUGCACGCCGGCCAACUCGUCGUGGUUUGGCCGAAAAACCAGUGUCAAAUUCGGCACAUUAUUCUUCAUCAUUUUAUUCACUUCCCUUUUUUUUUUUUUUUAAUAUCCUAAAUAAAACCUCCCAAUAUUUUACUAAUUAAUUAUAUAUAAAUGAUUAUGGUGUGUUUAAACUUCUUUCAUUAACUACUACAUAUUUUCUACACUCACAAUGUUUGCCAGCUCGCGAUAUAAUCAACCUAAAUCAGUUAAAUCCAUCAUACAAUGCAUUUCCUUCCAAUUUUUUGUGAUAAACUAAUAGAUAAUUGACUAAAUAAACAUCCUGCAAAGUUU